rnacentral:antisense_RNA from 1 species
CUUCACCGAACCCAGCAGCAGCGGGCGGCCCUCGGGCCGGUUGCGGCCGUAGGUGGCCAGCAGCGCCUCGGCCUC